UACAGAGACCUCAAGCGUUAUCCGGAAUCAUUGGGCGUAAAGCGUACCGAUAGGUGGUCAAGAUAGUUUUGGGUAAAAGCCAGAAGCUCAACUUCUGCGUUUGCUCAAAAUACUUCUAGACUAGAGGGACAAAGAGGUGGCUGGAACGAAUGGUGUAGUAGUGAAAUGCGUUGAUAUCAUUCGGAACACCGAAAGCGAAGGCAGGCCACUGGGUGUCACCUGACACUGCUAGGACGAAAGCGUGGGGAGCGAAUGGG
rnacentral:rRNA from 1 species